rnacentral:rRNA from 1 species
UGAGGAAUAUUGGUCAAUGGGCGGAAGCCUGAACCAGCCAAGUCGCGUGAGGGAAGAAGGCCCUGCGGGUCGCAGACCCCUUUGGACGGGGAGCAAGGCCGCGGACGUGUCCGCGGAAGGAGAGUACCCGUAGAACAAGCAUCGGCUAACUCCGUGCC